GCCGUCCGAGACCCCCUUCUUACACAUGUCAAGUCGACGAUGAUCCCAGUCUUGCUGGGGGAUUAGUGGCGAACGGGUGAGUAACACGUGAGUAACCUGCCCUUGACUCUGGGAUAAGCCUGGGAAACUGGGUCUAAUACCGGAUAUGACUCCUCAUCGCAUGGUGGGGGGUGGAAAGCUUUUGUGGUUUUGGAUGGACUCGCGGCCUAUCAGCUUGUUGGUGGGGUAAUGGCCUACCAAGGCGACGACGGGUAGCCGGCCUGAGAGGGUGACCGGCCACACUGGGACUGAGACACGGCCCAGACUCCUACGGGAGGCAGCAGUGGGGAAUAUUGCACAAUGGGCGCAAGCCUGAUGCAGCGACGCCGCGUGAGGGAUGACGGCCUUCGGGUUGUAAACCUCUUUCAGUAGGGAAGAAGCGUAAGUGACGGUACCUGCAGAAGAAGCGCCGGCUAACUACGUGCCAGCAGCCGCGGUAAUACGUAGGGCGCAAGCGUUAUCCGGAAUUAUUGGGCGUAAAGAGCUCGUAGGCGGUUUGUCGCGUCUGCUGUGAAAGACCGGGGCUCAACUCCGGUUCUGCAGUGGGUACGGGCAGACUAGAGUGCAGUAGGGGAGACUGGAAUUCCUGGUGUAGCGGUGAAAUGCGCAGAUAUCAGGAGGAACACCGAUGGCGAAGGCAGGUCUCUGGGCUGUAACUGACGCUGAGGAGCGAAAGCAUGGGGAGCGAACAGGAUUAGAUACCCCUGGUAGUCCAUGCCGUAAACGUUGGGCACUAGGUGUGGGGGACAUUCCCACGUUUUUCCGCGCCCGUAGCUAACGCAUUUAAGUGCUCCCCGCCCUGGGGGAGUUACCGGCCCGCAUAGGCUAAAAAACUUCAAAGGAAUUUGACCGGGGGCCCCCGGCCACCAAAUCCGGGGCUGGGGGGAGCACAAUAUUGGUGCUCG
rnacentral:rRNA from 1 species